rnacentral:rRNA from 1 species
UACAGAGGGUGCGAGCGUUAAUCGGAAUUAUUGGGCGUAAAGCGCGUGUAGGCGGCUUUGCAAGUCGGAUGUGAAAGCCCUCGGCUCAACCGAGGAAGUGCGUUCGAAACUGCAGAGCUUGAGGGCCAGAGAGGGACACGGAACUCCGGGUGGAGUGGUGAAAUGCGUAGAUAUCCGGAAGAACACCAAAGGCGAAGGCAGUGUCCUGGCUGGUACCUGACGCUCAGGUGCGAAAGCUAGGGGAGCGAACGGG